CCUACGGGAGGCAGCAGUGAGGAAUAUUGGUCAAUGGACGAGAGUCUGAACCAGCCAAGUAGCGUGAAGGAUGACUGCCCUAUGGGUUGUAAACUUCUUUUAUAUGGGAAUAAAACGUUCCACGUGUGGGAUUUUGUAUGUACCAUAUGAAUAAGGAUCGGCUAACUCCGUGCCAGCAGCCGCGGUAAUACGGAGGAUCCGAGCGUUAUCCGGAUUGAUUGGGUUUAAAGGGAGCGUAGGUGGAUUGUUAAGUCAGUUGUGAAAGUUUGCGGCUCAACCGUAAAAUUGCAGUUGAAACUGGCAGUCUUGAGUACAGUAGAGGUGGGCGGAAUUCGAGGUGUAGCGGUGAAAUGCUUAGAGAUCACGAAGAACUCCGAUUGCGAAGGCAGCUCACUGGACUGCAACUGACACUGAGGCUCGAAAGUGUGGGUAUCAAACAGGAUUAGAUACCCCAGUAGUC
rnacentral:rRNA from 1 species